rnacentral:rRNA from 1 species
AACGAACGCUGGCGGCAUGCCUAACACAUGCAAGUCGAACGAAGGCUUCGGCCUUAGUGGCGCACGGGUGCGUAACGCGUGGGAACCUGCCCCUUGGUUCGGAAUAACUCAGGGAAACUUGAGCUAAUACCGGAUGAUGACUUCGGUCCAAAGAUUUAUCGCCGAGGGAUGGGCCCGCGUAGGAUUAGCUAGUUGGUGAGGUAAAGGCCUACCAAGGCGACGAUCCUUAGCUGGUCUGAGAGGAUGAUCAGCCACACUGGGACUGAGACACGGCCCAGACUCCUACGGGAGGCAGCAGUGGGGAAUAUUGGACAAUGGGCGAAAGCCUGAUCCAGCAAUGCCGCGUGAGUGAUGAAGGCCUUAGGGUUGUAAAGCUCUUUUACCCGGGAUGAUAAUGACAGUACCGGGAGAAUAAGCUCCGGCUAACUCCGUGCCAGCCGCCGCGGUAA